AUUGAACGCUGGCGGCAUGCCUUACACAUGCAAGUCGAACGGCAGCACGGGAGCAAUCCUGGUGGCGAGUGGCGAACGGGUGAGUAAUAUAUCGGAACGUGCCCAGUCGUGGGGAUAACGUAGCGAAAGCUACGCUAAUACCGCAUACGAUCUAUGGAUGAAAGCGGGGGAUCGCAAGACCUCGCGCGAUUGGAGCGGCCGAUAUCAGAUUAGGUAGUUGGUGAGGUAAAGGCUCACCAAGCCGACGAUCUGUAGCUGGUCUGAGAGGACGACCAGCCACACUGGGACUGAGACAGGCCCAGACUCCUACGGAGGCAGCAGUGGGGAAUUUUUGGGACAAUGGGCGCCAAGCCUGAUCCAGCAAUAGCCGCGUGCAGGAUGAAGGCCUCGGUUGUAACG
rnacentral:rRNA from 1 species